rnacentral:rRNA from 1 species
UAGUCCACGCCCUAAACGAUGCUAACUCGAUGUUUGUAUUUAUAUGAGCAUCCAAGGGAAACCGUUAAGUUAGCCACCUGGGGAGUACGUUCGCAAGAAUGAAACUCAAAGGAAUUGACGGGGGUCCGCACAAGCGGUGGAGCACGUGGUUUAAUUCGAUGAUACGCGAGGAACCUUACCUGGGCUCUAAUGCGUGCGCUAUCCUGUGAAAGCAGGAGUUCCUUCGGGACGCAAAGCAAGGUGCUGCAUGGUUGUCGUCAGCUCGUGCCGUGAGAUGUUGGGUUAAGUCCCGCAACGAGCGCAACCCUUGUCUUUAGUUGCCAUCAUUCAGUUGGGCACUCUAAAGAGACUGCCGGUGACAAACCGGAGGAAGGUAAGGAUGACGUCAAGUCAGCAUGCCCCUUACGCCCUGGGCUACACACGUGCUACAAUGGUCGUGACAAAGGGUCGCUAAUCUGCAAAGACAUGCUAAUCUCAUAAACACGGCCUCAGUUCGGAUUGC